rnacentral:rRNA from 1 species
UACAGAGGUCUCAAGCGUUGUUCGGAUUCAUUGGGCGUAAAGGGUGCGUAGGUGGCGCUGUAAGUCGGGUGUGAAAUUUCGGAGCUCAACUCCGAAACUGCAUUCGAUACUGCGGUGCUUGAGGACUGGAGAGGAGACUGGAAUUCAUGGUGUAGCAGUGAAAUGCGUAGAGAUCAUGAGGAAGACCAGUGGCGAAGGCGGGUCUCUGGACAGUUCCUGACACUGAGACACGAAGGCCAGGGGAGCAAACAGG